GAACGCUGGCGGCAGGCCUAACACAUGCAAGUCGAACGGUAACAGAAAGCAGCUUGCUGCUUUGCUGACGAGUGGCGGACGGGUGAGUAAUGUCUGGGAAACUGCCUGAUGGAGGGGGAUAACUACUGGAAACGGUAGCUAAUACCGCAUAACGUCGCAAGACCAAAGAGGGGGACCUUCGGGCCUCUUGCCAUCGGAUGUGCCCAGAUGGGAUUAGCUAGUAGGUGGGGUAAAGGCUCACCUAGGCGACGAUCCCUAGCUGGUCUGAGAGGAUGACCAGCCACACUGGAACUGAGACACGGUCCAGACUCCUACGGGAGGCAGCAGUGGGGAAUAUUGCACAAUGGGCGCAAGCCUGAUGCAGCCAUGCCGCGUGUAUGAAGAAGGCCUUCGGGUUGUAAAGUACUUUCAGCGGGGAGGAAGGGAGUAAAGUUAAUACCUUUGCUCAUUGACGUUACCCGCAGAAGAAGCACCGGCUAACUCCGUGCCAGCAGCCGCGGUAAUACGGAGGGUGCAAGCGUUAAUCGGAAUUACUGGGCGUAAAGCGCACGCAGGCGGUUUGUUAAGCCAGAUGUGAAAUCCCCGGGCUCAACCUGGGAACUGCAUCUGAUACUGGCAAGCUUGAGUCUCGUAGAGGGGGGUAGAAUUCCAGGUGUAGCGGUGAAAUGCGUAAAGAUCUGGAGGAAUACCGGUGGCGAAAGCGGCCCCCUGGACGAAGA
rnacentral:rRNA from 1 species